UACGUAGGGGGCAAGCGUUGUCCGGAAUCAUUGGGCGUAAAGAGCGUGUAGGCGGCCAGAAAAGUCCGCUGUGAAAACUCGAGGCUCAACUUCGAGCUGUCGGUGGAAACUUUCUGGCUAAAGUCCGGAAGAGGAGAAUGGAAUUCCUGGUGUAGCGGUGAAAUGCGCAGAUAUCAGGAAGAACACCAAUGGCGAAGGCAGCUCUCUGGGACGGUACUGACGCUGAGGAGCGAAAGCGUGGGGAGCGAACAGG
rnacentral:rRNA from 1 species